GGAGUUGGUGUCGGAUGGAGAUGAUGAGAGCGAAAAUAGCCGCUGUGGCAGACUUGAAGAAAACGCAUCAGUCCACCUCGCCAGGACAGUGAAUCCCGCGGUUUCACAAACAGGGGGGUGAAGAAAAAUGUUCUGAACAAUGCGCACCGGCUUUGUGUGGACCAUCUGUCAUUGUAUCGACAUUACAGCGGCCCCCCUGCCCCAAAGGGUCCGAGUGAGACACCUGAAGAGCAGAAAACAGACAGCGUUCAUUCAGAGCCGCCACCCCGUCUCUCACCAAGCCGUGACUCAUGAUGUGAUCCGUCAGUGUGGAUGGACAGAAAUUGGAAUAGUGCAAGCAGACCACAAGCAUGGCUUUGCGCAUCCCGAAUUCACGGAAACACUCUUUGCGCAUCCGACUUCCUGCCGGAAUGUGGGCUUG